rnacentral:rRNA from 1 species
UACGAAGGGGGCUAGCGUUGCUCGGAAUCACUGGGCGUAAAGCGCACGUAGGCGGAUUGCUAAGUCAGGGGUGAAAUCCUGGAGCUCAACUCCAGAACUGCCUUUGAUACUGGCGAUCUUGAGUCCGGGAGAGGUGAGUGGAACUGCGAGUGUAGAGGUGAAAUUCGUAGAUAUUCGCAAGAACACCAGUGGCGAAGGCGGCUCACUGGCCCGAUACUGACGCUGAGACACGAAAGCGUGGGGAGCAAACAGG